GACAGCGUGGCCGAGUGGUUAAGGCGACAGAUUAGAAUCUGAUCUACCAUCUGUUCCGGUUUCCGGGCGUAGGUUCGAGUCCUACCGCUGUCG
rfam:Gloeophyllum trabeum ATCC 11539 unplaced genomic scaffold GLOTRscaffold_00003, whole genome shotgun sequence.